rnacentral:rRNA from 1 species
CCUACGGGUGGCUGCAGUGGGGAAUAUUGGACAAUGGGCGAAAGCCUGAUCCAGCCAUGCCGCGUGUGUGAAGAAGGCCUUCGGGUUGUAAAGCACUUUCAGUGGGGAAGAAAGCCUUGGGGCUAAUACCCUCGAGGAAGGACAUCACCCACAGAAGAAGCACCGGCUAACUUCGUGCCAGCAGCCGCGGUAAUACGGAGGGUGCGAGCGUUAAUCGGAAUUACUGGGCGUAAAGCGCGCGUAGGCGGUCUGAUAAGCCGGUUGUGAAAGCCCCGGGCUCAACCUGGGAACGGCAUCCGGAACUGUCAGGCUAGAGUGCAGGAGAGGAAGGUAGAAUUCCCGGUGUAGCGGUGAAAUGCGUAGAGAUCGGGAGGAAUACCAGUGGCGAAGGCGGCCUUCUGGACUGGCACUGACGCUGAGGUGCGAAAGCGUGGGUAGCAAACAGGAUUAGAUACCCGUGUAGUC